GAUGAAGAACGUAGCGAAAUGCGAUAAGUAAUGUGAAUCGCAGAAUUCAGUGAAUCAUCGAAUCUUUGAACGCACAUUGCGCCCGCCAGUAUUCUGGCGGGCAUGCCUGUCUGAGCGUCAUUUCAACCCUCAUGCCCCUAGGGCGUGGUGUUGGGGAUCGGCCAAAGCCCGCGAGGGACGGCCGGCCCCUAAAUCUAGUGGCGGACCCGUCGUGGCCUCCUCUGCGAAGUAGUGAUAUUCCGCAUCGGAGAGCGAUGAGCCCCUGCCGUUAAACCCCCAACUUUCCAAGGUUGACCUCAGAUCAGGUAGGAAUACCCGCUGAACUUAAGCAUAUCAAUAAGCGGAGGA
rnacentral:misc_RNA from 1 species